UACGUAGGCGGAUCAGAAAGUUGGGGGUGAAAUCCCGGGGCUCAACCCCGGAACUGCCUCCAAAACUCCUGGUCUUGAGUUCGAGAGAGGUGAGUGGAAUUCCGAGUGUAGAGGUGAAAUUCGUAGAUAUUCGGAGGAACACCAGUGGCGAAGGCGGCUCACUGGCUCGAUACUGACGCUGAGGUACGAAAGUGUGGGGAGCAAACA
rnacentral:rRNA from 1 species